rnacentral:lncRNA from 1 species
GGUGUUAUGGGGCAAGGAGCUGGCCCAAGACCAUGUCAGGUGUUACGAGCAAAGAGCUGGCCCAAGACUCUUUCAGGAGUUACGAGACAAAGAGCUGGCCCAAGACUCUUUCAGGAGUUACGAGACAAGGAGCUGGCCCAAGACUCUUUCACGUGUUACGAGACAAGGACCUUGCCCAAGACUAUUUCAGGUGUUACGAGACAAGGAGCUGGCCCAAGACUAUUUCAGGUGUUACGAGACAAGGAGCUGGCCCAAGACUAUUUCAGGUGUUACGAGACAAGGAGCUGGCCCAAGACUAUUUCAGGUGUUACGAGACAAGGAGCUGGCCCAAGACCAUUUCAUGUGUUACGGGGCAAGGAGCUGGCCCAAGACUCUUUCAGGUGUUACGGGACAAGGAGCUGGCCCAAGACUAUUUCAGGUGUUAUGGGGCAAGGAGCUGGCCCAAGACUAUUUAAUGUGUUACGGGGCAAGGAGCUGGCCCAAGACUCUUUCAGGUGUUACGGGGCAUAGAGCUGGCCCAAGACUAUUUCAGGUGUUACGGGACAAGGAGCUGGC